rnacentral:rRNA from 1 species
UACGAAGGGGGCUAGCGUUGCUCGGAAUUACUGGGCGUAAAGGGCGCGUAGGCGGACAGUUAAGUCAGAGGUGAAAGCCCAGGGCUCAACCCUGGAAUUGCCUUUGAUACUGGCUGUCUUGAGUACGGGAGAGGAGAGUGGAAUUCCUGGUGUAGCGGUGAAAUGCGCAGAUAUCAGGAAGAACACCCGUGGCGAAAGCGGCUCUCUGGAACGGUACUGACGCUGAGACGCGAAAGCGUGGGGAGCGAACAGG